rnacentral:rRNA from 1 species
ACGGGUGAGUAAUACGUAGGAAUCUGCCCUAGAGUGGGGGAUAACCCGGGGAAACCCGGGCUAAUACCGCAUAAUCUCUUCGGAGCAAAGCAGGGGACCGCAAGGCCUUGUGCUUUAGGAUGAGCCUACGUCGGAUUAGCUAGUUGGUAGGGUAAAAGCCUACCAAGGCGACGAUCCGUAGCUGGUCUGAGAGGACGAUCAGCCACACUGGAACUGAGACACGGUCCAGACUCCUACGGGAGGCAGCAGUGGGGAAUAUUGGACAAUGGGGGAAACCCUGAUCCAGCAAUGCCGCGUGUGCGAUGAAGGCCUGCGGGUUGUAAAGCACUUUCGGUGGGGAAGAAAUGCUCAAAGAUAAUCUCUUUGAGAGCUGACGUUACCCACAGAAGAAGCACCGGCAAACUCUGUGCCAGCAGCCGCGGUAAUACAGAGGGUGCAAGCGUUAAUCGGAGUUACUGGGCGUAAAGGGCGCGUAGGCGGUUAUUUAAGUCGGAUGUGAAAUCCCUGGGCUUAACCUAGGAAUUGCAUUCGAUACUGAAUAUUCUAGAGUAUGGUAGAGGAAAGUGGAAUUCUCGGU